CAUAUUCAAUGCUCCUUGCUGCUUAUUUCUGGAAUUGAGGUGGCCUCGUGCUUUUAUAGGACAGCAAUUGACACAUUUGCCCUGGCAGCUGAGACAGCCCAUGAGGAAAGACGCUUUGGGGUCCACCUGUCCUAUUUAGAAACAGUUACACAGCUGAAAUGAUCUCAUUUACCCCACAUGAUAGAUGUGGCCCUUCCAGAUGAGGAGUUCAACAAGACUACAUGGUAGAGCAGCCAGAGAACCCACUGGAAAUAAGGCUCAAAAUAAGGAGUAACCACAAAAUAAGGUGAUUUAUAAAGGGACAGAGAAUGCUGAUUCACUAUGCAGUGAAACAUGCCUAACGUGUCAACAGCUAAAUGCCCGGUGACAGUGUGGUUGUCUGGGCAACAGAAGAAGUCACCCACGCAAACACUUAAAGGACCAUACUUAUUUUACAAGAGGAACAGUUUUCAAUGGAAUGGAUAUUAAAACACACACCUGGAUCCCUUUACCACAGGUGCUUUGAGAGGCACCAUCAAGGACAGUGAGCUAACGCAGGUAACUCAGGUAACAGGGCGGUGAGCUAAUGCAGGUAACACAGGUGACAGAGUCAUGGGCUAAUACAGGUAACACAGGGUAGUGAGUUAACUCAAGUAAUAUAGCUAAGCCAGGUAACCCAGCUUACACAGCCAACACCUGGCAGUGGGCUAACACAGUUAACUC
rnacentral:lncRNA from 10 species